rnacentral:rRNA from 1 species
AUUGAACGCUGGCGGCAUGCCUUACACAUGUAAGUCGAACGGUAACAGGUCUUCGGGUGCUGACGAGUGGCGAACGGGUGAGUAAUACAUCGGAACGUGCCUAGUAGUGGGGGAUAACUACUCGAAAGAGUGGCUAAUACCGCAUGAGAUCUACGGAUGAAAGCAGGGGAUCGCAAGACCUUGUGCUACUAGAGCGGCCGAUGGCAGAUUAGGUAGUUGGUGGGAUAAAAGCUUACCAAGCCGACGAUCUGUAGCUGGUCUGAGAGGACGAUCAGCCACACUGGGACUGAGACACGGCCCAGACUCCUACGGGAGGCAGCAGUGGGGAAUUUUGGACAAUGGGCGCAAGCCUGAUCCAGCAAUGCCGCGUGCAGGAUGAAGGCCUUCGGGUUGUAGACUGCUUUUGUACGGAACGAAAAGCCCUGGGUUAAUACCCUGGGGUCAUGACGGUACCGUAAGAAUAAGCACCGGCUAACUACGUGCCAGCCGCCGCCGUAACAC